GACGAACGCUGGCGGCGUGCUUAACACAUGCAAGUCGAACGGAAAGGCCCUGCUUUUGUGGGGUGCUCGAGUGGCGAACGGGUGAGUAACACGUGAGUAACCUGCCCUUGACUUUGGGAUAACUUCAGGAAACUGGGGCUAAUACCGGAUAGGAGCUCUUGCUCCAUGGUGGGGGUUGGAAAGUUUCGGCGGUUGGGGAUGUACUCGCGGCUUAUCGGCUUGUUGAUGGGGUAGUGGCUGUCCAAGGCUUUGAAGGGUACGCGGCCUGGGAGGGUGACCGGGGACAUGGGUCCUGAGGGACGGCCCAGACGGCUACGGGAGGCAGCAGUGGGGAAUAUUGCACAAUGGGCGGAAGCCAGAGGCAGCAACGCCGCGUGCGGGAAGACGGCCUUCGGGUUGUAAACCGCUGUCGCCUGUGACGAAGCGGGAGUGACGGUAAUGGGUAAAGAAGCACCGGCUAACUACGUG
rnacentral:rRNA from 1 species